GAUAACUCUGGGAAACUGGGGAUAAUACUGGAUAUUAGGCUAUGCCUGGAAUGGUUUGCCUUUGAAAUGUUUUUUUCGCCUAAGGAUAGGUCUGCGGCUGAUUAGGUCGUUGGUGGGGUAAUGGCCCACCAAGCCGAUGAUCGGUACGGGUUGUGAGAGCAAGGGCCCGGAGAUGGAACCUGAGACAAGGUUCCAGACCCUACGGGGUGCAGCAGGCGCGAAACCUCCGCAAUGUACGAAAGUGCGACGGGGGGAUCCCAAGUGUUAUGCUUUUUUGUAUGACUUUUCAUUAGUGUAAAAAGCUUUUAGAAUAAGAGCUGGGCAAGACCGGUACCAGCCGCCGCGGUAACACCGGCAGCUCGAAUAAUAACUAUUUUUAUUAAACCUAAAACAUUCAUAGCCAAUUUAAUAAAUCUUUAAUAAAAACUUAUAACUUAACUAUAAGAAUUACUAAAAAUACUAUUAAACUUAAAGUCGAAAGAGGUUAGAGGUACUACCGAGGUAGGAGUGAAAUCCUAUAAUCCUGGGAGGACCACCUGUGGCGAAGGCGUCUAACUGGAACGAUCUUGACGGUGAGUAACGAAAGCCAGGGGCGCGAACCGGAUUAGAUACCCGGGUAGUCCUGGCCGUAAACGAUGUGGACUUGGUGUUGGAAUGGCUUUGAGUUGUUCCGGUGCCGAAGGGAAGCUGUUAAGUCCACCGCCUGGGAAGUACGGUCGCAAGACUGAAACUUAA
rnacentral:rRNA from 1 species